UACGGGGGGGGCAAGCGUUGUUCGGAAUUACUGGGCGUAAAGGGCGCGUAGGCGGUUUGUUAAGUUGGAUGUGAAAACUGUGGGCUCAACCCAUAGCCUGCAUCCAAUACUGACAGGCUAGAGUUCUGGAGGGGAUAGCGGAAUUCCUGGUGUAGCGGUGAAAUGCGUAGAUAUCAGGAGGAACACCGGUGGCGAAGGCGGCUAUCUGGACAGAGUCUGACGCUGAGGCGCGAAAGCUAGGGGAGCAAACAGGAUUAGAUACCCUGGUAGUCCUAGCCCUAAACGAUGGAUACUUGCUGUGACUGGGAUUGAAUCCAGUCGUGGCGAAGCUAACGCAUUAAGUAUCCCGCCUGGGGAGUACGGUCGCAAGGCUG
rnacentral:rRNA from 1 species